rnacentral:rRNA from 1 species
GAUGAACGCUGGCGGCGUGCCUAAUACAUGCAAGUCGAGCGAACAGACGAGGAGCUUGCUCCUCUGACGUUAGCGGCGGACGGGUGAGUAACACGUGGAUAACCUACCUAUAAGACUGGGAUAACUUCGGGAAACCGGAGCUAAUACCGGAUAAUAUAUUGAACCGCAUGGUUCAAUAGUGAAAGACGGUUUUGCUGUCACUUAUAGAUGGAUCCGCGCCGCAUUAGCUAGUUGGUAAGGUAACGGCUUACCAAGGCGACGAUGCGUAGCCGACCUGAGAGGGUGAUCGGCCACACUGGAACUGAGACACGGUCCAGACUCCUACGGGAGGCAGCAGUAGGGAAUCUUCCGCAAUGGGCGAAAGCCUGACGGAGCAACGCCGCGGGAGUGAUGAAGGGCUUCGGAUCGUAAAACUCUGUUAUUAGGGAAGAACAAAUGUGUAAGUAACUAUGCACGUCUUGACGGUACCUAAUCAGAAAGCCACGGCUAACUACGUGC